rnacentral:rRNA from 1 species
AUGCAAUGGUUUCAAAAGAGGCGUGAGAAGGUGGGCGAGAAUAGCUUUGAGGCUUUGGUCAUUGAGGAUUUUGAUUGGGGCAAUGAGUGGGUGGACCCAUCACUAUCACAACCUCAAGGUGCUCGAGGUUGUCCUGAUGACAAUCAAGACAUUACAUGGGAGGAUGUUGAUGUGGCUAUUGGUGCAUCUUCAAACCUUCGAGGCCGCAAUCUGCAUAGGACAGCAACUACAGUUCGUAGGGGCCAGACAAUGCAACACUACGCAUGCAAGAGACCUACUACAACACGACCUACAGUUCCUGAAGAAGAUGAGGCAGAGGAGGGCUUGGAGCAAGAACAACACUCAAGUAUGCCCAAUGCGGAGGGGGAGGAUUCAGACUACGUUGAGGAUGAUGAUGAUGUGAGCAAUGACGAUCAAGAGCCAACUCAUGUUGACCAAGAUGGUGAAGACAACACCAAUGCCAAUGAGUUUGAUGAUGAUGACUUUUGA